UUGAAUACAUUAGCAUGGAAUAAUGAAAUAGGACGUCCGAUCCUAUUUUGUUGGUUUCUUAGGAUUGACGUAAUGAUUAAUAGGGAUAGUUGGGGGCAUUAGUAUUCAAUUGUCAGAGGUGAAAUUCUUUGGAUUUAUUGAAGACUAACUACUGCGAAAAGCAUUUUGCCAAGGAUGUUUUCAUUAAUCAAGAACGAAAGUUAGGGGAUCGAAGACGAUCAGAUACCGUCGUAGUCUUAACCAUGAACUAUGCCGACUAGGGAUCGGAUGAUGUUAAUUUUUUAAUGACUCAUUCGGCGCCUUACG
rnacentral:rRNA from 1 species